rnacentral:rRNA from 1 species
GGAUUAGAUACCCUGGUAGUCCACGCCGUAAACGAUGAGUGCUAGAUGUCGGGGAUUUAUUCUUCGGUUUCCAAGUUAACACGUUAAGCACUCCGCCUGGGGAGUACGAUCGCAAGAUUAAAACUCAAAGGAAUUGACGGGGGCUCGCACAAGCGGUGGAGCAUGCGGUUUAAUUCGAUGUUACCCGAAAAACCUUACCAACUUUUGACAUGGUAGUCGCGGACUCUGGAGACAGGUCCUUCAGUUCGGCUGGACUACACACAGGUGCUGCAUGGCUGUCGUCAGCUCGUGCUG